rnacentral:rRNA from 1 species
AUUGAACGCUGGCGGUAGGCCUAACACAUGCAAGUCGAACGGCAGCACAGUAAGAGCUUGCUCUUACGGGUGGCGAGUGGCGGACGGGGGAGGAAUACAUCGGAAUCUACUGUUGCUUGGGGGAUAACGUAGGGAAACUUACGCUAAUACCGCAUACGACCUACGGGUGAAAUCAUGGGAUCUUCGGACCUUGCGCGAUUGAAUGAGCCGAUGUCGGAUUAGCUAGUUGGCGGGGUAAAGGCCCACCAAGGCGACGAUCCGUAGCUGGUCUGAGAGGAUGAUCAGCCACACUGGAACUGAGACACGGUCCAGACUCCUACGGGAGGCAGCAGUGGGGAAUAUUGGACAAUGGGCGAAAGCCUGAUCCAGCCAUACCGCGUGGGUGAAGAAGGUCUUCGGGUUGUAAAGCCCUUUUGUUGGGAAAGAAAAGCAGCAGGUUAAUACCCCGCUGUUCUGACGGUACCAAAAGAAUAAGCACCGGCUAACUUCGUG